GACGAACGCUGGCGGCGUGCUUAACACAUGCAAGUCGAGCGGAGCGGCGAACGGGUGAGUAACGCGUGAGUAACUGCCCCCCUCUCUGGGAUAACAGUUGGAAACGGCUGCUAAUACCGGAUAGUGGGGGAUGACUCGCGUCCUAUCAGCUUGUUGGUGGGGUAGUGGCCUACGAAGGCGACGACGGGUAGCCGGCCUGCGAGGGCGAACGGCCCCAUUGGGCCGGGAUACGGGCCAAACUACUACGGGAGGCAGAAGUGUGGAAUAUUGCACAAUGGGGGAAACACUGAUGCAGCAACGCGCGUGCGGGAUGACGGCCUUCGGGUGGUAAACCGAUUUCGGCCAUGACGCGGUAGUGGCAGAAGAAGCACCGGCUAACUACGUGCCAGCAGCCGCGGUAAUAC
rnacentral:rRNA from 1 species